rnacentral:rRNA from 1 species
UACGAAGGGUGCAAGCGUUACUCGGAAUUACUGGGCGUAAAGCGUGCGUAGGUGGUUUGUUAAGUCUGUUGUGAAAGCCCCGGGCUCAACCUGGGAAUGGCAAUGGAUACUGGCAGGCUAGAGUGCGGUAGAGGGUAGUGGAAUCCCCAGUGUAGCGGUGAAAUGCGUAGAUAUUGGGAGGAACACCAGUGGCGAAGGCGGCUCACUGGACCGGUUCUGACGCUGAAGCGCGAAAGCGUGGGGAGCAAACGGG